rnacentral:tRNA from 1 species
UCCCUGGAGGACUAGUGGUUAGGCCACAACGCUCUCUCUGCUGCGGCCCGGGUUCGAUUCCCGGCCAAGGAA